rnacentral:rRNA from 1 species
AUACGUAGGGUGCAAGCGUUGUUCGGAAUUACUGGGCGUAAAGCGCGUGUAGGUGGUUUGGUAAGUCAUGUGUGAAAGCCCCCGGCUCAACCGGGGAAGUGCACUUGAAACUGCCUAGCUAGGGGGCGGCAGAGGGAGGUGGUAUUCCUAGUGUAGAGGUGAAAUUCGUAGAUAUUAGGAGGAAUACCGGUGGCGAAGGCGGCCUCCUGGACCGUACCUGACACUGAGACGCGAAAGCGUGGGUAGCAAACAGGAUUAGAAACCCUAGUAGUCC